rnacentral:rRNA from 1 species
ACCGUGGAACUGCAGGGCAUACUGCCAUUCUUGAGGCCGGUAGAGGCCGCCGGAACUCUAGGUGUAGCGGUGAAAUGCGUAGAUAUCUAGAGGAACGCCAAAGACGAAGGUAGGCGGCUGGGCCGGUUCUGACGCUCAGGCACGAAAGCGUGGGGAGCAAACAGGAUUAGAUACCCUGGUAGUCCACGCCGUAAACGUUGUGCACUAGGUGCUGGAGGUUCUGACACCAUCAGCGCCGAAGCGAAAGUGAUUAGUGCACCGCCUGGGGAGUACGGUCGCAAGGCUAAAACUCAAAGGAAUUGACGGGGGCUCACACAAGCGGUGGAGCAUGUGGCUUAAUUCGAGGCAACGCGAAGAACCUUAUCCUGGGCUUGACAUGCAUGGAUUAACGCUGGGAAACCAGCGCCACACUCUUUGAGUGGAACAUGCACAGGUGCUGCAUGGCUGUCGUCAGCUCGUGCUGUGAAGUGUUGGGUUAAGUCCCUUAACGAGCGAAACCCCUGUCGCUGGUUACCAUCAGGUAAUGCUGGGGACUCUAGCGAGACUGCCGGUGUCAAACCGGAGGAAGGCGGGGAUGACGUCAAGUCCUCAUGGCCUUUAUGCCCAGGGCUGCACACGUGCUACAAUGGCGCCGACAGAGCGAAGCAAAACCGCGAGGUAGAGCAAAUCGCAAAAAAGGUGCCCCAGUUCGGAUUGCAGUCUGCAACUCGACUGCAUGAAGCCGGAAUCGCUAGUAAUCGCGUAUCAGCAACGACGCGGUGAAUACGUUCCUGAGCCUUGUACACACCGCCCGUCAAGUCAUGGAAGCCGGGAGUACCCGAAGUCGCACCGAUUCAGGUGUGCCGAUGGUA